rnacentral:rRNA from 1 species
GACGAAGGAUGCAAGCGUUAUCCGGAUUCAUUGGGUUUAAAGGGAGCGUAGGUGGCCUUAUAAGUCAGUGGUGAAAUCUUUGGGCUUAACCCAAAAAUUGCCAUUGAUACUGUAGGGCUUGAGUACAGUUGCCGUUGGCGGAAUAUGACAUGUAGUGGUGAAAUACAUAGAGAUGUCAUAGAACACCGAUUGCGAAGGCAGCUAACGAAAACUGUAACUGACACUGAGGCUCGAAAAGUGCGGGGAUCAAACAGGGA